rnacentral:tRNA from 1 species
GCAGUGGUGGUUCAGCGGUGGAAUGCUCGCCUUCCAUGCAGGAGAACCGGGUUUGAUUCCCGGCCAAAUGCA